rnacentral:rRNA from 1 species
GAGCGUACACAGGUGCUGCAUGGCGUGUCGUCAGCUCGUGUCGUGAGAUGUUGGGUUAAGUCCCGCAACGAGCGCAACCCCUCGCAUUCAGUUGCCAUCGGGUGAAGCCGGGCACUCUGGAAGGACUGCCAUCGACAAGAUGGAGGAAGGUGGGGACGACGUCAAGUCAUCAUGGCCCUUAUGUCCAGGGCGACACACGUGCUACAAUGGCCGGCACAACGGGAAGCGAGUUCGCGAGGACGAGCGGAUCCCUUAAAGCCGGUCGCAGUUCGGAUUGAAGUCUGCAACUCGACUUCAUGAAGCUGGAAUCGCUAGUAAUCGCAGAUCAGCCAAGCUGCGGUGAAUACGUUCCCGGGCCUU